AGGGGAUGCAAGGUGUUGCUCACCUGGACAUACAGCUAAGUAUGGAAGCUAUACAUUGAUCGAUGUGGACACACAUCAAGUUUUGGACAUCCAGUUGGUGCAGUCAAAUGAAGUGGCCAAUUCGAAUGCCAUGGAACUUGAAGGAUUGAAAAGGGGCCUUGCACAUCUUGAGAAUGCCAGAGUAUUUACAAGAAACUUCAAAAAGUAAGCAAGAAGAAAGGCCUGGAAAUAAUCAGCCUGUGGGCACACUCCAUUUCCAAUCAUAU